rnacentral:rRNA from 1 species
CAGUCGUGCUGGCGCGAAAUCAACUCAACGAACGGGUAAUUGCGGGCGUAUGACAGAUCGCAUUGAAAGGGAAACGAUUGAAGUCAGUCAUGCCAGUGAAAAUUCAGUUUGGCGUGGAUCUCGUUCAGGAGUAGAGGCAGGGUCAAACCGUCUCUCUUUUGAACGGAUUCUUGUCAGAUGUAUUUUUUCUCUUGCAGGUCAGCGUCGGUUUCGGGGGUUGUAAAAUACUUGGGGUAAAGUAGCUCUGCUUCGGGAGAGUGUUAUAGACCUUGGGGGAUGCAGCCCGCGGGAUCGAGGAUUGCAGCAAAUGCCUUUGGCUUGUCGCCUGAUCUCUGGAUGUUACCUUGCUUGCAACAACAUUCUUGUUGCCGGUGAGUACUAAUGCUCAUUAGGUUAGAGCGAUCAAAAAU